GUACUAGCUUUCGCAGUACAUAUUCUAAGAUUAGAAUGAUACAGAAAUUAGCAUGGCCCCUGCGCAAGGAUGACAUGCAAAUUCAUGAAGCACUCCAUACUUUU
rfam:Octopus bimaculoides Scaffold18448_contig_85, whole genome shotgun sequence.